ensembl:lncRNA
CACUAACGAGUCACAUGACAACUGGGAAGAAAAAUGGCUAACUGGGCACAAUUUGGACAUUUUCUUUUAGGGGUGUACUCACUUUAGUUGCCAGUGGUUCAGACAUUAAUGGCUUUGUGUUAAGUUAUUUUGAGGGGAAAGCAAAUUUAUACUCUUAUACAAGCUGUACACUGAUUAAAUGACAUGUUUUAAAGUGUCAUAUCUUCAAUGUUGUCUCAUGAAACGAUGUAAUGAAAUAUUUACAAAAAAAGGGAGGCGUGUACUGUACUCACUUUAGUGAGAUAGUGUAUGUUUUAUCCUCUAAAUACCCAGCUAAUAAGACACUGAGAAAUACAGAAAAUAAACACUUCCAUGUAAAUGUGUGUCUCAAUUAUUUCUGCAACAAAUUUUAUUGAAAAGGCAAAGAAGCAGAGCAUUAAGGUGUUGCCUGAAAUAUAUCGGAAAUUUUGCAGAGCUGAAAAUGAAAAUAUACUCGCAAACACCAGUGCUACCCCUCAAUGUCCUACGAGAUGCACAUAGGGUAUCAAUUUGAUGAUCUUACAUAGCCUUGUUCUCGACUUAUCACAUUCAAAAGAUUUUCAGAAAAAAAAUUUAAAAAUUAAAAAAAAAAAGAAUUAAAAAAAAAAAAAAAUUCAAAUUCACAGAGAUUUAUACUUGUCUAAUUUUUAGUAGAUGCACCUAUGGUGUAAAUUUGAAAAUCAUACCUUGCCUCAUUCUCAAGUUGUGACAUUCACAAACUUGGAUGUCCACCCCACCCUCCCAUCAGGGUGACAAUACCCUGUAAACCUUUUACAGCUGAAGAGUAAAAAAAAACCCUUCAUGAUAGUGUAAGGGAAAAGAAAAAAAAAAUCCCUUUUUGGACAGGUGGUGGCGUGGGGGAGAACCACAACAAUGCUUCGUCCCCUUUAGUGACGCAAGCUUGUGGGCAACAUAUAGUAAAAACAAUGGACUAAUGUCAAAUUUGUAACAGAUACCUGACUCAAAUCAGGGAAAAGUCAGCAAAGCCACUAUCUGACUCUAUGCUGCGGUGGCCUGUGGUAACAACUUAAACAAAUGUCUCCAGUGACAUCAAUACAAUCACGGAAACCAAAAUUUUUUAUUUCCUUUUCAUUCUUUCUGUGUGGUGAGAUAUGGUGCAACUUCGGUCAGUAUGCAAUUUUAACAAC